UGGGGAAUUUUGCACAAUGGGGGAAACCCUGAUGCAGCGACGCCGCGUGAUUUAGAAGGCCUUCGGGUUGUAAAAAUCUUUUCUAUGGGAAGAAAAUGACAGUACCAUAGGAAUAAGGACCGGCUAAUUACGUGCCAGCAGCCGCGGUAAUACGUAAGGUCCGAGCGUUGUCCGGAAUCAUGGGGCGUAAAGGGUACGUAGGCGGGUAAGCAAGUUAGAAGUGAAAUCCUAUAGCUCAACUAUAGUAAGCUUUUAAAACUGCUCAUCUUGAGGUAUGGAAGGGAAAGUGGAAUUCCUAGUGUAGCGGUGAAAUGCGCAGAUAUUAGGAGGAGUACCGGUGGCGAAGGAGACUUUCUGGCCAUAACCUGACGCUGAGGUACGAAAGCGUGGGUAGCAAACAGG
rnacentral:rRNA from 1 species